rnacentral:rRNA from 1 species
GACGAACGCUGGCGGCGUGCCUAAUACAUGCAAGUCGAACGCAGUGGGGACGGGUGAGUAACACGUUGGUAACCUCCCAUCAGAGGGGAUAACACUUGGAAACAGGUGCUAAACCGAUACUGAUGGCUGAACCCGCGGUGCAUUGGCUAGUUGGUUAGGUAACGGCUCACCAAGGCCACGAUGCAUAGUCGACCUGAGAGGGUGAUGUGCCACACUUGGACUGAGAAACGUCCCAGACUCCUACGGGAGGCAGCAGUAGGGAAUCUUCGGCAAUGGAAGAAAGUCUGACCGAGCAACGCAGCGUGAGUGAAGAAGGUUUGCGGAUCGGAAAACUCUGUUGUUAGAGAAGCGGUAUCUAACCAGAAAGCCACGGCUAACUACGUGCCAGCAGCCGCGGUAAUUC